AAUUUUGGACAAUGGGGGAAACCCUGAUCCAGCAAUGCCGCGUGCAGGAUGAAGGCCUUCGGGUUGUACACUGCUUUUGUACGGAACGCAAAGUCUUGGGCUAAUACCCUGGGCUCAUGACGGUACAGUAAGAAUAAGCACCGGCUCACUACGUUCCAGCACCCGCGGUAAUACGUAGGGUGCAAGGGUUAAUCGGAAUUACUGGGCGUAAAGCGUGGGCAGGCGGUUUUGUAAGGCAGUGGUGAAAUCCCCGGGCUCAACCUGGGAACUGCCAUUGUGACUGCAAGGCUGGAGUGCGGCAGAGGGGGAUGGAAUUCCGCGUGUAGCAGUGAAAUGCGUAGAUAUGCGGAGGAACACCGAUGGCGAAGGCAAUCCCCUGGGCCUGCACUGACGCUCAUGCACGAAAGCGUGGGGAGCAAACAGG
rnacentral:rRNA from 1 species